ensembl:lncRNA
CAUCACUACGGUCCCGCUAACAUCCACAUUUAUGGCACAGCUGGACAACAACACAACCAAACUGACCAAAGUCUUCAGAAACAAGGGAGGAACAUCUGGACGCAAGAUCACAGAAAUCAUGGCUGCAAUUGAUGAGAACGACACAGUUGCAAUGAGAAGAGUGUGUACGCUGAAAGGACUUGCAGUCUACCUCAAUGAAGAUCCGAACAGCUUGAUCAAAGAAUAUCAGAUGAUGGACCAACACCUCUCAUCUCGCUCUGAGCUGUCUACUGUUUUGCAGCUUAAAGGGAUAUUCCACCCCAAAGUGAAAAUUGGUCUAUUACCAUAUUACCCAGAGUAAGAUAAGUGAGAAAAAAUAAUUUUGUAACCAGUGCAAUAAUUCUCCUGAUCGGGCAGCAGUCUAUUUGCUUUUGCCUAGCAUUUAAAAAAUGGAGUGAAUGGG